GAGUUUGAUCCUGGCUCAGAGCGAACGCUGGCGGCAGGCCUAAUACAUGCAAGUCGAACGGCUCUUCGGAGCAGUGGCGGACGGGUGAGUAACGCGUGGGAACGUGCCCUUUGGUUCGGAACAACACAGGGAAACUUGUGCUAAUACCGAAUGUGCCCUUCGGGGAAGAUUUAUCGCCAUUGGAGCGGCCCGCGUUGGAUUAGCUAGUUGGUGGGGUAAAGGCCCACCAAGGCGACGAUCCAUAGCUGGUCUGAGAGGAUGUCCAGCCACACUGGGACUGAGACACGGCCCAGACUCCUACGGGAGGCAGCAGUAGGGAAUCUUGCGCAAUGAGCGAAAGCUUGACGCAGCGACGCCGCGUGCGGGAUGACGGCCCUCGGGUUGUAAACCGCUUUCAGCAGGGACGAAAUUGACGGUACCUGCAGAAGAAGCCCCGGCCAACUACGUGCCAGCAGCCGCCGU
rnacentral:rRNA from 1 species